rnacentral:rRNA from 1 species
UAAGGAAUAUUGGUCAAUGGACGCAAGUCUGAACCAGCCAUGCCGCGUGGAGGAUUAAGGCCCUCUGGGUUGUAAACUCCUUUUAUCUGGGAAGAAAUGUACUUUUUCUUGAGUACUUGACGGUACCAGAGGAAUAAGCACCGGCUAACUCCGUGCCAGCAGCCGCGGUAAUACGGAGGGUGCAAGCGUUAUCCGGAUUCACUGGGUUUAAAGGGUGCGUAGGUGGGCAGGUAAGUCAGUGGUGAAAUCUCCGGGCUUAACCCGGAAACUGCCGUUGAUACUAUUUGUCUUGAAUAUUGUGGAGGUAAGCGGAAUAUGUCAUGUAGCGGUGAAAUGCUUAGAUAUGACAUAGAACACCAAUUGCGAAGGCAGCUUACUACACAAUCAUUGACGCUGAGGCACGAAAGCUUGGGGAUCAAACA